UCCCGCACCCUUCGGGGCAGUCAUCGCUGCUGUAAACAUCCUUGACUGGAAGCUGUGAGGUGUCAGCGGGGGCUUUCAGUCGGAUGUUUACAGCUGCAGGCUGCUGCAGUCACCUGGGUGCUGC
rnacentral:precursor_RNA from 7 species